rnacentral:rRNA from 1 species
GACGAACGCUGGCGGCGUGCUUAACACAUGCAAGUCGAACGAAGUGGCGAACGGGUGAGUAACGCGUAAUCAACCUGCCCUUCAGUGGGGGACAACAGUUGGAAACGACUGCUACUACCUCAUCCUGACGGCGGGGCUUGCGUCUGAUUAGCUAGUUGGAUGGGUAACGGCCCACCAAGGCGAUGAUCAGUAGCCGGUCUGAGAGGAUGAACGGCCACAUUGGGACUGAGACACGGCCCAGACUACUACGGGAGGCAGCAGUGGGGAAUCUUCCGCAAUGGACGAAAGUCUGACGGAGCAAAGCAGCGGGAGUGAUGACGGCCUUCGGGUUGUAAAGCUCUGUUAAUCGGGACGCGGUACCGGAAUAGAAAGCCACGGCUAACUACGUGCCAGCAGCCGCGGUAAUUC